GCAGAAUAUGAGUGUGUAUGUUUCCCAGACUCAUGCCAUUCUUUUGCAUUUUUGCUUACUUGACAGAGAAAAUGGCAGUCUUCCAAUUUUCAUUUAUUUAAUUAUGAGUGAAUAUUGAACAAAAUUUUGUAUGUUUACGAGCCAUUUGUACUUAUUUUAUGAAAUGCCUAUUCAUAGUCUUUGUCCAUUUUUCUUUGGAAUAUUUCCUUUCCACAUUAAAAAUAAUAUCCUCUAUUGUCUGUCAUAUGUUGCAAAUAAUCUCUCCUUGUCAUUUGUGUUUUCUUGCCUUUCAGAAAUAUUUAAUUUUUAUGAAGUCACGUUUAUCAAUUUUUUUCCCCAUGGCUUCUGCUUUUAGUAUUAUGUCUGGCAAUAUUCUCCAAUCCCAAAAUUAUGUCAAUAUAUGCUUAUGUUUUCUUUUCGUAUGUUUAUGAUGUUGCUUUUUAAAACAUUUAAUUCUUUAGUCCAGGUGGAAUUUAUUUUGAUUGUCGUAGGAAUUGAACCUUUCCCUCAAAUUGUUAAGCAGUCCCAAUCACUGAUUUUAAAAACAUUUUCCCUAAAUGUUUAACAUUUCUCAAGUUAAACAUUAGAUUGACUUUGGUCUGUUUCUGUGUUGUUCUCCUCCAUUGGUUUGUGAGUGGCUUCUGCUGCUGGCUCCAUACCGUUCCCAUGACUGUACCUUGGAAGCACAUUUUAGGGUCUGGUAAGGCAAGUACCUCCCCCAUUACUUCUCCACAAGUUUUCUGACUAUUUUCACUCCUUUAUUCUUCCAGAUGAAAUUUAGAAUCAAGUUCAAAACAAAAACUCGUUGGAAUUUUGAUUGUGAUUUUGCUUAAAAUUAGAGAUUACUUUGGGGAGAAUAGUGGUCUUUGCAAUUUUGAAUCUUCCUACCCAAGAACAUGAAAAACAAGAUGAAGUUGUCUAUUACGAUCCAUGUGAAAAUCCAGAGGAACUUAAAGUCAUUGACUGUGUGGUGGGGCUGCAGGAUGAUAAGAAUUUGGAAGUGAAAGAACUCAGAAGGCAGUGCCAGCAGCUGGAGUCUAAACGGGGCAGGAUCUGUGCCAAAAGAGCCUCUCUCCGGAGUAGAAAGAGUCUCGCUCUGUCUCCUAGUCUGGAGUGCAAUGGCGCAAUCUCAGCUCACUGCAACCUCCACCUCCCAGGUUCAAGCGAGUCUUCUGCCUCAGCCUCCCGUGUAGCUGGGAUUACAGGUGCCUGCCACCACACCCGGCUAAUAUAUAUAUAUAUAUAUUUUUGAGAUGGGAGUCUCACUCUGUCGCCAGGCUGGAGUGCAGUGGCACGAUCUCGGCUCACUGCAACCUUCAUCUCCAGGAUUCAAGCCUGCCUCAGCCCCCUGAGUAGCUGGGAUUACAGGCAUGUGCCACCACCCCUGGCUAAUUUUUGUAUUUUUAGUAGAGACGGGGUUUCACCAUGUUGGCCAAGCUGGUCUUGAACUCCUGACCUCAGGUGAUCCACCCGCCUUGGCCUCCCAAAGUGCUGGGAUUACGGGCAUGAGUCACAGCGCCUGGCCACACCCGGCUAAUUUUUGUAUUUUUAGUAGAGACGGGGUUUCACCAUGUUGGUCAGACUGGUCUUGAAUUCCUGACCUCAAGCAAUCCACCUGCCUCAGCCUCCCAAAGUUCUGGGAUUAGAGGCGUGAGCCACUGUGCCCAGCCUACUAUAUUUUUCUUAUUAGAAUUAAGAAAACAUGAAAAUUGUGACUUUUGUAGCUUAUAAAAAUGUUCAUUACUCUUCCAUGUAAAUACAAAUACUUAAGAAAAACUUCGCUAGGUGCCAUGGCUUAUGCCUGUAAUCCCAGCACUUUGGGAGGCUGAGGUGGGAGAAUCACUUAAGGCCAGAAGUUCAAGACCAGGGACAACACAGUGAGACCUCAUCUCUAUGGUGCGCACCUAUAGUCCCAGCUACUCAAGAGGCUGAGGCAGGAGGAUCGCUUGAAGCCAGGAUGUUGAGGCUUCAGUGAGCUAUGAUUGUACCACUGCACUUCAGCUGGGGUGAUAGAACAAGACCCUGUCUCUAAUAAAAAAAUAAAAAUAAAAAACUUUGUUAGAAGAGUAUAUUCUUUGCAUGUUUGUGUUUAAGAAUUGUACUUCUGGAUUUAGGAACUGUUAUUCAGAGGAUUUGAAGAUAUACAGGCAUUUGCCCUUUGCUCCACAUUUCAGAAAACCCAUGAGCCCCAGGAAGACUCUCCUUUGGCACUCCCAUGGUGCUGUGGAUGAACAGAUGCCUCCACCUCCUUGGCAGUGUUUUUUAUAUAUAUAUAUAAAAUGCUCCUAUGCCUUCUCUUAUCCAGACUUGGAGCAUUAACCUUCACUCUCAAGAUAUAAUCACUCCCCCUACCCCAUUUAGAGGAGCUCUUUCCACUGAUUCUGGAAAUGUUGGAAUUUGGAAGGCACUCAGUUAAUAGAAUGGUAGUUGAGGUGAGCUAUCAACUUGGGUUCAAAUCACAGCUUGGCCACUUAGGUAGCCAUGUGACCUUAGGCAAAUUACUUAAAUCUCUUUCGAGCUCACAGUUUUCUCAUCUGUUAAAAGAGGAUGAUAGGCUAG
rnacentral:lncRNA from 1 species